AUCUCUCCCGUACGGGGAAGGAUGAGAAGCUUCGAUAAGGUUCGAUUCGAGCGAAAGCGAGAAAGCGUUGCCGCGAACGCGGCGCGACGAAGGGCGAAGCGCGCAGCGCUGAGUCAACUUAACUACCACCA
rnacentral:sRNA from 1 species